rnacentral:rRNA from 1 species
UACGGAGGGUGCAAGCGUUAUCCGGAUUCACUGGGUUUAAAGGGUGCGUAGGUGGGCAGGUAAGUCCGUGGUGAAAUCUCUGAGCUUAACUCAGAAACUGCCGUGGAUACUAUUUGUCUUGAAUGUUGUGGAGGUGAGCGGAAUGUGUCAUGUAGCGGUGAAAUGCUUAGAUAUGACAUAGAACACCAAUUGCGAAGGCAGCUCACUACACAAUUAUUGACGCUGAGGCACGAAAGCGUGGGGAUCAAACAGG